AUUGAACGCUGGCGGCAGGCCUAACACAUGCAAGUCGAGCGGAGCGGCGGACGGGUGAGUAAUGCCUAUGAAUCUGCCUGGUCGUGGGGGAUAACGUCCGGCAACGGGCGCUAAUACCGCAUACUAUCAGAUGAGCCUAGGUCGGAUUAGCUAGUUGGUGGGGUAAAGGCCUACCAAGGCGACGAUCCGUAACUGGUCUGAGAGGAUGAUCAGUCAAACUGGAACUGAGACACGGUCCAGACUCCUACGGGAGGCAGCAGGGGGGAAUAUUGGACAAGGGGCGAAAGCCUGAACCAGCCAUGCCGGGUGUGUGAAGAAGGUCUUCGGAUUGAAAAGAACUUUAAGGUGGGGGGCGUUACCAACAGAAUAAGAACCGGCUAACUUCGUGCCAGCAGCCGCGGUAUAC
rnacentral:rRNA from 1 species